rnacentral:piRNA from 2 species
UACAGCAGAACUUUGAUGAAGAUUGAA